AAAUUGAAGAGUUUGAUCAUGGCUCAGAUUGAACGCUGGCGGCAGGCCUAACACAUGCAAGUCGAGCGGAAACGGCAGCAUUGAAGCUUCGGUGGAUUUGCUGGACGUCGAGCGGCGGACGGGUGAGUAACGGCUGGGAACCUGCCCUGACGAGGGGGAUAACCGUUGGAAACGACGGCUA
rnacentral:rRNA from 1 species